AGCAGUCGCGGUAAUUCCAGCUCCAAUAGCGUAUAUUAAAGUUGUUGCAGUUAAAAAGCUCGUAGUUGAAUUUCGGGACCAAUUUGUUGGUCGUGCCUCGGUACGUACUGGUAUUAUUGGUUUCUCCCUUCUGAAGAACCUUGAUGUCAUUAAUUUGGUGUCUUGGGGAAUCAGGACUGUUACUUUGAAAAAAUUAGAGUGUUUAAAGCAGGCAUACGCUUGAAUACAUUAGCAUGGAAUAAUGAAAUAGGACGAUGGUUCUAUUUUGUUGGUUUCCGGGACCGUCGUAAUGAUUAAUAGGGAUAGUUGGGGGCAUUCGUAUUCAAUUGUCAGAGGUGAAAUUCUUGGAUUUAUUGAAGACUAACUACUGCGAAAGCAUUUGCCAAGGAUGUUUUCAUUAAUCAAGAACGAAAGUUAGGGGAUCGAAGACGAUCAGAUACCGUCGUAGUCUUAACCAUAAACUAUGCCGACUAGGGAUCGGAUGAUGUUAUUUUUAAUGACUCAUUC
rnacentral:rRNA from 1 species